ensembl:snRNA U6 U6 spliceosomal RNA
UUAUUCACUUUGGCAGCACAUAUACAAAAAUUGGAACCAUACAGAGAAGAUUAGCAUGGCCCCUGAGCAAGGAUGACAUGCAAAUUCAUGAAGUGUUCCAUAUAUUU